rnacentral:tRNA from 1 species
GGGCCAUUAGCUCAGUUGGUUAGAGCCGCCGGCUCAUAACCGGUCGGUCCGGGGUUCGAGCCCCUGAUGGCCCACCA